GUAGUUCAUGAGUGGAUUUCUUCUCCUUACAUCCACUCUUUAUAAGAAUGUACUUUCAAAACUUCAAAUGUAAAGAAAAUAAAAGGUUAAUUAAAGGCACUAUCUGCUCUGUUUUUUGCACAUCUUUCAUGUGUUACAUUUACUUUUCUUUCAAGAAGCAUAUAUAAUAUUUACAUUUCAUUUUCCCAAAUCCUAACUACAAGAUAUAUGGUCAACAAGAUUAUUUUUACCGUCUUUGAUUCGUUAAACUUGAAGUUGGAUGAAUGAUAAAAAUUUUCUAAUGUCUCUCUUCUUUACUCAUAUUCGCUAUUUUAGCACUUGAUUAAUUUGUUUUAUUGGAUUAGGAUUGUUCUAUGGGUGGCCAAAACAGGGGAUUAUGUCAUUCUUGUAGGAUUGCGGACACAUGUUGCCGGAAUGUCCAAAAAAUAUUAAAUGCCCAAACUGUGGCGAGGGCUUCGUUAGGUGGUUGGAGGUAAAAAAGAAUUCAGACAAUAAAGGGCUGUUGUUCCAUAGUUGUACCUGCAACUGUUAGCUUUUCAAGCUUUCUAACGUUCCGCCGUAUAAAGAGUAUUCAUUGCAAGGUGAAUCAGGUGGUACUACCAACGGAAGUGAACCAGUCGACGAUUUGUCUCGUAUGUUGACGACAUGUGCAAAAAUAACCGAGGAGAGAAACUUGGAGAUUUCAUUCAACAUCACCAUACGCAAAGGGAAACGAGUUUACGGAAGAUGUACAAUGAAGUCUAUGUAAUUGAAUAGCUUCGACUUAUUGUACUUAAAAUUGCAGUGAUGGCUGUCUUUGGAGCAUAUUUUUUGUUUAGGUGUCUUGAUCUAGAGCAGUUUUCAUUGUGCAUAGUGAACUUUUACAAGUGUUCUCAAUCAAGUUUCAUGUUGCAGUAGAUUGCUUAUUUGGUUGUCUACCCAAUUAUGCUAUUUUACAAUUCAUGGCAUCAUUACAAUCUUGAUCUCAUUUUACUCUGUAAACUCGAGUUUCAUUGGAAAUUCC
rnacentral:lncRNA from 1 species